GCGCACCAGGCGCGAAACCUCCGCAAUGCGGGAAACCGUGACGGGGUCACCCCGAGUGCCACCCGAUGAGGGCGGCUUUUCCCCGGUCUAAAAAGCCGGGGGCAAUAAGCGGGGGGCAAGUCUGGUGUCAGCCGCCGCGGUAAUACCAGCCCCGCGAGUGGUCGGGACGUUUAUUGGGCCUAAAGCGUCCGUAGCCGGCUCGGUAAGUCCCUCCUUAAAUCCACGGGCUCAACCCGUGGGCUGGGAGGGAUACUGCCGGGCUAGGGGGCGGGAGAGGCCGAGGGUACUCCCGGGGUAGGGGCGAAAUCCGUUAAUCCCGGGAGGACCACCAGUGGCGAAGGCGCUCGGCUGGAACGCGCCCGACGGUGAGGGACGAAAGCUGGGGGAGCAAAGGGGAUUAGAUACCCCUGUAGU
rnacentral:rRNA from 1 species